rnacentral:lncRNA from 1 species
UACAUUUACAUUAAUUUGCAUCCUAAAAAAAUUACCAUUUUGUCCUUAUUUUUUUGACAUUUUACAUUUUAGUCCCUAGGCUCGUAAAAUGAAAUUUGUUCAAUUUCUAUAACCCAAGCCUAGCCGAACCAUAUACAUGCUCAUAUCAGCCCACAUUUUCCAUUAAAUUAUAUUUUUACUACCCAUUUUAUAACUUUUUACAAAUAGGUCCUUUUAUGUAUUUCCAUCAAAAAUCACCUAGUAAAAGUUGUUUAUUAUACCUUAAACAUACCAUAUCUUCCUUCAAAUAUCAAAAUACAUGCAUGUCACACAUGCGUAAAUUUUUAAACAUGAACCCUACUUCAAAAUAGUGGUAGAAAUGGAAAGAUCGGGUGAAUACGACUUCAAAAACGUAAAGAGCAUUAAA